rnacentral:rRNA from 1 species
AGAGUUUGAUCCUGGCUCAGGACGAACGCUGGCGGCGUGCUUAACACAUGCAAGUCGAGCGGAAAGGCCCUUCGGGGUACUCGAGCGGCGAACGGGUGAGUAACACGUGAGCAACCUGCCUUUAGCUCUGGGAUAGCUUCGGGAAACCGGAAUUAAUACCGGAUAUGACCACAACCGGCAUCGGAUGUGGUGGAAAGAUUUAUCGGCUAGAGAUGGACUCGCGGCCUAUCAGCUUGUUGGUGAGGUAACGGCCCACCAAGGCGACGACGGGUAGCCGGCCUGAGAGGGCGACCGGCCACACUGGGACUGAGACACGGCCCAGACUCCUACGGGAGGCAGCAGUGGGGAAUAUUGCGCAAUGGGCGAAAGCCUGACGCAGCAACGCCGCGUGGGGGAUGAAUGCCUUCGGGUUGUAAACCCCUUUCAGCAGGGACGAAGCGAAAGUGACGGUACCUGCAGAAGAAGCGCCGGCUAACUACGUGCCAGCAGCCGCGGUAAUACGUAGGGCGCAAGCGUUGUCCGGAAUUAUUGGGCGUAAAGAGCUCGUAGGUGGUUUGUUACGUCCGCUGUGAAAACCUAGGGCUUAACCCUGGGCCUGCAGUGGAUACGGGCAGACUAGAGGUAGGUAGGGGAGAAUGGAAUUCCCGGUGUAGCGGUGAAAUGCGCAGAUAUCGGGAGGAACACCGGUGGCGAAGGCGGUUCUCUGUGCCUUACCUGACACUGAGGAGCGAAAGCGUGGGGAGCGAACAGGAUUAGAUACCCUGGUAGUCCACGCCGUAAACGUUGGGCGCUAGGUGUGGGGUCCUUCCACGGAUUCCGUGCCGCAGCUAACGCAUUAAGCGCCCCGCCUGGGGAGUACGGCCGCAAGGCUAAAACUCAAAGGAAUUGACGG